GGGGCUGUAGCUCAGUGGUAGAGCACUUGCCUAGCAUGUGUGAGGCAUUGGAUUCGAUCCUCAGCACCA
rfam:Ictidomys tridecemlineatus contig039595, whole genome shotgun sequence.